UGUUUUUCACAUUCCUCCCGGAUUUCAAUUUCCUUCUGGAAUCUCAGCUCUUUUCAUCAUCUGCUCUUGCAGGAACACUAAACUGCAAACGCAACCUUACGAUUCAGCGGACUACGUCCCAUGAAGAUUACUGGGUACAUAUACAUUUAGUUUCGUGUUCCCUUGUGACUUUCUGUAUCACUGCACACAGUUGUUACUGUGAAACAAGCAUUAAAAGUCUGGGUAGAUUACUGGGUUCAUACACAUUUACUUUCUUGUUCUCUUGGGAGUUUUGAUAUGGCUGCACCAAUUGUUGCUGUGAAAUAAACGUUAAAGGAGCCCGUGGCCCGUACGGGGAUCGAACCCGCGACCUUGGCGUUAUUAGCACCACGCUCUAACCGACUGAGCUAACCGGCCCCGCCGGCAGCAGGGGGCCCUACCCCUCUUGAGAAGUUUAAAGGCGAACGUUAUUCCAAUCACCAAAGAAACUUUUCUGAAGUUCUCGGAGCUGGAAAGAACCUACGAUCUUUGCUAACUUCUUUAGGUUCCUCGGCAAAUUUCUUCUAACCCUGAAAUUUCGGUUAAAAUACAACGCUGCGGAAGGAAAGUUCAAAUGUCACCUGCUUCAGUGUUUCAUGACAAGGGGUUUUAGUGACCACCCUUUUAAACGCAACGCCAUCACCGUCCGCCGGUACUGUGGCCUGUCCCUAUCACUCCUUUCUACUUUGCUUCGGUAGCUUCUGAGCGACCCGUGAAGAAAUUGACGGAAAACGGAAGGAAUUACCGCCAGUUCCUUUCCACGGGCCGUCAAGGCCAGUAUAAGUCCCCACCCAGGCUCCUCUGCUCGUAACUUCUAGCACGAUUCCCACUGUAUUCGCCCAUGUUUCCCAAAAGAUCCCGACUCAGAUUGAAAAAGCAGAGGAUGGUCACUGCCUUCCAGGUCUGAGGCUGUCUCCCAGAAACUUCGUUCCUGGCUUCGCCUUGGUUCUCCAUCACUUUCGGAGUCCUACAGGAGGAAAGUGCUAUUGAAGAUGCGGCGCGUAUGGCGUGAAGUUCUGGGGCUGGGAGAAGCUGCCCCACUACUUCCGGGCGGCCUUGCCUGCGGGGAGCAGUUCACAACCUAGUGUUGUCCACUUGCAUGGGAUGUUUCUUUUCCAUCACAAUGCUCUGAGAUAACUAAGUCAAGGGAAGUUUGUGCAGCCCUCCAGACCCUCCAGAUUUCAAAGGAAAGCCCACCGCUGCUGGUCUGGGGGAGCUGAUGGCCUAUUCAUGGAUGAGAUGGACUAGGGACAGUGGGAAGCAUAAUGGACCAACAGCAUUGUUGGAGGGGACUGGGUGAGGAAGCAGGAGCCUCAACAACACUCCCCAGUUACUGCGUGAACACUGUCUCCAGAGGGGUCUUGUAGCAUCAAAAAUUAAAGCUAAAUGUUGAUUUCUUUCUGGUAAUUAUUUUGUUCAGCAACCUGGAAAAACGAACAAAAAUUAUCUCAUUCCCGGUCCUAUCUAAAGUCUGAAAUAUUUAAUUAAAAUGAUAAAACUUU